UUUUUUGUUUUACUUUUUUUCAUUGUUUCAUGAAAGAUCAAACUGGUUCAAGUUCAAAAGAAGUUACAGUAUUCAAGUUUCAAUAUAUAGAGUCCACGAAGAUGGCGAGAUAUUCAAAGGAACCAUUAAGGCGGGUUGAAAGUUGAUAGAAUGGUUGAAAGGUAACCAUAUAAUGAUCUAUCCGCCAAUGGUUAGGAUCGAGAAUAAGAUAGCCUACUACGAUAGGUUUAAGAGGAUUUUCUUGCACAAGCAGAGAGUUAGUUGUAUUUUAGUUACUUUCCAUUUUAAACCCCUUGGAGAUGUGAUCUAAAUUUAAAUAAUAUAGAAACUCACUAAAUUCCUUCGAACUUAUAGAGGCUUGACUUGUGAUUGUAGGAUUUUCGAAAUAAAGAAUUAGAGAAUGGACCAAGUCAGAUCGUGUUGACUUAAGGCGCACCGUAGUAUUAUGUCAUGCACAUAAGAAGGGGAUAUCGUUAAAGACUUCACCAAUGGGGCGAAUAUUUUGUACUCAAUUAGUUCCAUCAGAGUUCGAAGUCAAGAAAAUAAAGCUUUUAACUUUAAAUUUUACAGACUCUGUUGUGUAUGCUUUUAAAUAAAUAUGAAAUACAAUAUGUUUUCAAACGAUAGAAAAUUCUAAAUAGUUACAUUAAAAUAAGUUUUAUAUUUUUUAUUUUUUAAAAUUUUAAAAAUUGAUUAACUAUUGACGUAUCAUCUACGUGGCAAUCCACGUGUAUAUCAUGUCAAAAAAGUUAAUAAAUAUUAACUUUUCCAUUAAUUUUAGAUUGUUUUGACAAACAAAACGAGUUUAAAGACUAAAAUAAAGAAAAAUUAAAUGAAAAACUAAAAUAACAUUUUUAUAAAAUUAGAGAAUUAAAUAAAUUAUUAUGUAUUUUACCAAGAAAUAAAAUGCAGGAAUACGAAGCUUCCUAGUGGAUGAUAUUUGGAAAGAUAAUUGAAGUUUUGAGCAGCGGCUUAAGUAGCAACUAUUUCCUGGUCACGUUACACAAGCUGUCCGUCAAAAUUGAAGAGUUGGUAGGGUUUUCAUAAUUAUCAUAAUAAUAAAUUUAGUUUUCGAAAUUUAUAUAUUUUAUUAUUUUAACCUUAAUUUUAAAAUAUUUAAAAAAAAUUAAAACUAAAUUGAUAGAAUAUAUAAAUUUUGAGAACUAAAUUUAUUAUUAUACCAAUUAAAAUCAUAUUCAAGGUUUUGAGACGUUGGUGACUUCAAACUAACUUCCAGAGAGAUUGAUAUGGCUAGGCAUAAGGUGCUUAAGGUGGGAUUAACAUUCGUUUUCUCAUUGGCGGACAAUGGCUAAUUAAGCUUAAGGUGUGAUUAACAAUCGUCUUCUCAUAAAGUUGUUGAAUUUUGUCUUUGUCAAAGUAAAGUUUGAAUGAAGAAAAUAAAAAAUAAUACAAUCGGUAAAAAAUAUCAACAUCAUAAUUAAUUGUGUUUAUGGUUUGAAAUGCUGUAUAACUAAAAAAACUAAAUAAAUAAAAAAUCCGACUCCGUCUUUAAAAAGAAACACGCAUUCUUUUCUCGACACAAAACCCCUGCAAAUCCUUUACCGCCCCCAGUCAUUAUGGCAGAUGAAUCCGAAAUUAUGUUCUCAAAGAAACUUUCACGCACUGACAUCAACAAGAGGUUGACGAUCCCUAGCAAAACUCUGUCUUUUUUUCCAGCUUUCAAUGCUGGCCAUGCCGUCACAAUUCACCUUGAGCAUGCCCAAAAAACCUGGCCAGUUCUCUGCACUAUCCGUAGGGGAAAGUAUAAGAAACCUGUUCUCUGCGGUGGAUGGAGAGCCUUCGUUAAUUUUAAGAAUUUCAACUUGGGUGAUAGAAUCACCAUGUACAAAGUGCAAGACCGAGAUGGUUCUUCUCACUUUAGGGUUGAAGUGGAGAACCCACCAUCUGCCAGCAACCAGCACGUCGAGCUUGUCAAUGAUGCAAAUGCUACCAAAUCGCCCGUCAUGUUAUUUGGCACUGAUCUAAACGAUGAAGCCACUGAAAUGAUGUGCUGUAUGUCCAAAGAAGUGAAAGAAAUCAACUUCUUUGGUAUCAAAGAGAGUGAUCCAAUCGCCUAUAGCAGUGGUACAAGUGAUGCAGGCGAUCAGCGCUGUAACUUACAUGCAAGAGAAGUGAAGCUAAAUUUGACGUUGUCGCCGCCCAAUGUGGAGGAACUAUAGUUGAGGAAACUGGAAAUACCACUGUUAGCUCACUCAAAAAUCAUGUUACGGUUCAUCUUCAAAGAGUAAAAGAAAAGACAUGAUCUUCAAAGAGAUCAGAAAGAAAAGGCAAGGUUAGGGUUUCUACUAAAAUUUCUGUUUCUGUGAGUGGCCUUGGGCUGGGCUAGGGUUGGGUCGUUUAGAGUUUGGACUUUUAAGAUGUUGUCUUGUUGUUUCUUUGAUUUGUUUUGUCUAUGUAUUAUGAUGGUGUUUUAUUUAACAUAAUAGUUAAUGAUGCUUUGUGAGUUAACUGGCAAGAUCGUUCAUUAAGCUGCUUGAUUUGGUAAGACACUUUCACAAGCCAAAUUUUUAGUCAACUUCGUUGGCUAUUAUUUUUUGCGCUGUCUUCUUCACCUCCCUCAUCCAUACACGAUCAGAUCCAACCUCAUUACCAAAUCGUCGGCCGGUAAAGCCUCAACUAGAUUUAUGGAGCUAAGUACAUUUCAUCUUUUCUUUCCGCUAUCUUCUAUAUCUACUUUUCGAUCCAUGUUUGAGAUGUAUUUUUUUUUCUUAUGAACUGAGAUUAAGUCUCCGACCACAUGAAUAAAAAACGAGCAACGACAACGUCAUAUAUCAUGAUUGACUCGAAUUAGUUGAACUCUACGUUCUCUUCCCUCAUUUGUAUUCAAAGGUUCAAUAGCUAGGAGAUUAUAACUCUCCAAGUUGACUUUAUUAGCUCUCAUAUUCCAUGCUAAAUUAAGAUCAUCCCAAAUACUCUAGAGCUCAGGUUAAAGCACCGAACAGAUUCCUAGGCUCCUUGCAAAACUCAUCUUCCACUUGUCAAUAUUUAGAGGUGAUCAUGGGCCGGGUCGGGCCAGAUUUGGGCCGGGACCAUACAAAUUUUUAGGCCCGUCUACUAGGUCUGGGCCCGGCCCGGGCCGAAAUAUGGGCCUAAAAUUUUGCCCAAGCCCGGCCCGAAAUAAAAUUACUAAGCCCGAGCCCGGCCCAUAUUAAAAUUUUUUUAUUUCAUUAAAUAAAAAAAUUUAAAAAUAUAAUAAAUCAAAUAUAUUUAAAAACAUAAAAACAAAUAUUAAAACAAAUAAAAAUGAUACUAAAACAAUUCUUAAAACAAUACACAAAUUAAUAAUAUAAUAAAAAAUGGUUAUAUUAAAAAUUUAAAAUAAUUAAAAAUAAAAUAAAAAUAUAUAUAUUAAUAUAUAAUUCGGGCCGGGUCGGGCCGGGCCCGGGCCAAAAAACUCUUACCCGAGGCCCGGCCCGUUUUUUAAACGGGCCUCGUUUUUUUACCCAAGCCCAUUUUUCGGGCCUAUAUUUUUACCCAAACCCUCCCAUUUUUUUGGCGGGCCUUCGGGUCGGGCCGGGCCGCCCAGCCCUUGAUCAGCUCUAUCAAUAUUACCUACUGUUUGAUUGAUUGCCUAUAAUAGAGUUUGAGAAUUAGGAUAAUCUAAUGUUAUGCUGCCCUUUGGUAAGUGUUUUGGAAAAUUUUGUCUUGAAAGUGUGGUUAGGUCUAUUGGAGCAUGAAAGAAAUCAAUCCUAUAAAGCUAUUGAAAGUAGGGUUAAUUCCAUCAAAUAUCUCUAAACUAUGAUUCUCAUUUUCAAUUCAUCCUUAAAUUUCAAAUAAGUUAAAUUACAUUCUUAAACUAUUGAGGUUAUAUUAGUUAGGUCCUCUAGUUACUACAAUCGUUAAAUGACACCUCAGAUCUUAUGGACCAUAAUCUAAAAUGACAAAAAAAAAUGAACUUUUAUAAAAAUAGAUGUUUUAAAAAUAUUAGUUUUGAGGGUUUUGAAGUUUUUUAAUGAAGCUUUAUUGUUCACACUUUUUUCCCAGUUUUUCUUUACUUUUUAGUUUUUACUUUAAAAAGUUAUGUGGCAACAUUUUAUUUAUUUAAAAUUUUCAUUAAAUUUAACUACAUAAGAUUUGAUGUGUUAUUUAAUGAUUAAAUUAACAAUUUUAAUAAUGAAAGGUCUUGAUUGGUAUAUUAUUAUAGCUUGGGGAUGUAAUUAGAAUAUUUUAGAAUUUAGGAACUAAUUUAGAAUGAUGGUCAUAGUUUAGGGAUAUCUGGUGCAAUUAAUUAAUUGAAAGUAUGAAAACCCUUUUCUUUUAUUAUAAUCAUAGGUGUCCUCAUCCAUUUUACAGUCUAAAAUUAAUCCUAUAUAGGUCAAGAUGGUAUUCACAUAAAUUCUUUCUAAUAAUGAUAACUCUAAAAUUCAAACUCAAACAUUGUGUUGUUAAACUAUUGAUUUGCUGGUAAAGUAUCAAGGAGGUCUAUGUACUAUUAGUCAGGUUGCAUUUUGUCCCAUUUUACUCAAAAAUGGGCAAAUUAGUUACUGUAUGGUAGAUCAAAGGACAAAUUAGUCAUUCUAUUAUAAAUUCUAUCUAUUUUUACGGUUAAAAACUAACCCUUAUACGUUAACAUGAGGUUUACGUGGCACGCCAUGUGUCACUGUCUGGUUAUGCCACACUGGUUUUUAAUAGUACAAAUGAAUAAAUUUUUAACAGAAAGGAAAGGACCAAUUUGCUCUUUUAUCUAAUGUAUAGGGACUAAUUUGCCCUUUUUUUAGUAGAAAGGGGAAAAAUGCAAUCUGACUCCUAGUAUAAGGGCCUUUAUGAUAUUUUACCUUGAUUUGAUUUGUUGUUUUUGUUUUUUUGGAAAUUUUUUAUUUUGAUUAUUGGUGAGUGGUGUAUUACAAAUUUUGGCUAAAAAAAUUUGUAAAUUUAUUAUUAUUAUUAUUAUUAUUAUUAUUUAUAGGCGGCUCAAUAUAUCAUUUAGUACCUGAGUUUGGCACUUUUUUUUAAUGUGGUAUCUAUGUUAUUUUUUUAUUCAAUUUGCUACUUGUAUUUGACAAAAGUUAUAUGUUUUGUAUCCAAAAGUUACGGUGUUAACUUUUUAGUAUUUCAUUUAAGUUUUAGGGUUAAUUUGAUUAAAGUUAAUUGCUAAUAUUAUUAGGUUUGAUUUUUUAAUGAUUUUGUUUAUAAAAUAAAUUUAGUGAUAAUUGUGAAUAUGUUUAAUUUUGCGUUUAAUUUGUCAAAUACAGUCAAUCGAUGUCAUUUAAUUCAUGUUUUAGGGUUGGUUUGUGAAAAUUAAUUGCUAAUAUUAUUAACUAAUUUUAAAUUUUCAUCAAAUCAACUUCAAAACCAGAAUUAAACACUAAAAAGUUAACAAUAUUAUCUUCAUAUAUCAAAACGUAUAACUUUUACCGAAUACAUAUACCAUAUUAGACAAAAAAAAAAUUAACACAAAUACCACAUUAAAAAAUGUUAAAUAUUCAAAUACCAAAUUUCACCCUAAGCCUUAAUAAACUUAAUUUGCUAAAAUUUAUAGCCAAAUAAAACAAAUUAAUUUCUCUUAUUUAUGUGAAGUCUCGUACCCCAUUCUUUACACAAAUGAGACAAAUAAAAUUGUCCCCCGUCAUUGCAUGAUUCAACUUUUUAUAUCUUUGCAAAAAUAUUUUAAUUUUUGCACACACAAAUAAUUAUAUUUAUUCUGUUAGAAGUUGUGUCACCUAAAUUCUUGUUAAAAUAAAUAUAAGUGGUAAGAUAGGGGAUCUACGGUACAGGCUGCACAAGUAAAAUCCAUUUAGAAGUUUACUUCCUCUAUUUGAUUUUGAUUAGAAUAAGGUGUUUUAUGUAACAGCCUAUUUCCUGUGGUGAUGGAAACAGUGGUUUGAGACCACUAAAUCUGAAAAUUGAGUUUAAAAAUUUUAAAAAUUAUAUUUAGGAGUCAAGUGUGAUUUUGGAAAUAUUCUUGAAUUAGUGAAUUUUUUAUUUAAAUGAAUUAUUAGGUUAAUUGGUCUCGAAAACGAGGUAUUGAGACCUCGAUUUUAUAAACUGAGCCAUAAGUAUUUUUGUAAAUAUAUACAGAGUGUCAUUAAAUUAGUAUUAAAGUUUCAUUAGGAAAUUUUAACGUUUCGAUUGUUAAUUAAUUAAAAAGAACUGAAUUGAAAAAAGUACAAAACUUGUUAAAAUGAUAAAAUAGCUUAAGAGGUAAUUAAGGGAGGAUCAAAUAGAAAUUAUACACUUAUUAUAAGGCUGGACAGCAUGUGUCCAAGAAAUAACAAAAAUUAGUGUGAACAAGGGGUAAAAUUAGAAAUUGAAAUUACAAGAGAAUUCUAGACAAAUUCUCUUCAAAAAAACUUCAGAAAAAUGCCAUAGGAGGUUCUCUAAGCUGGUUUUUUAUAUUUUUGCAUCAUGUGAGUUGAAUUCUUGCUCUUUUCUUGUAAUUUUUGUGUUUUUAAGACUUUUGUAAUUAGGUCCAAUUAUCUAAUUCAUUAGUUUUUUAUUUCAUGAGUAAUUUUGAAAGUUACAAUUGAUGAGUGCUGGAUGUUUAUGAUGAAUUAACAUGGAAUUGAAGCUCUAAUUUUGUUAUGUGAUUAUUUUAUUUAGUAAUUUUAAUAGAUAUUGAUUUUAGGACCAAAUUGUGAAAGGUUAAGAAUUAGGGUUUGCUAUUGAAAUUCUGAAUAUUAAUGGCUGUAUGGCAGCCUAAAAUAAUUAUAUAAAGUGUUAAUUGAGAAAAUUUAGUUCAAUUGAUCUGUUAAUUGAUCAGGGCCUAAUUGUAAAAACUGUAAAAGUUGGGGUAAAUGUGUAAUUUCAAAAAUUGAAGGGAAUAAAUUGUAAAGUAAAUUAGAAUUGAAUUAGAUACUAAUGAAUGAAUAAUUUUAUAUUAUAGUUCAAGAUUCUGAAGACAAAAGUGAAAAAGAGAAAUUAGCCAAAUAGUCCUUGAAUUACUACAACUUCCACAAUCUAUCCCAGGUAAGUUCGUAUGGUUGAACCUUGAUAUUUAUAUUGAAUUGAUGGAUGGUAUUAUGUAUUUAUUUAUAUUAUUUUUUAAAAAACAUGGAAUAUUAUUAUAUAAUGAAAUUAAAAUGAAUGUUCGGGUUAAAUAGAACGCGAAAAUUGAGUACCAUCGUUUGAGGCAAGGACGAAGCCAGAAAAAUUGUUUAGGGGGGCCGAAUGAAAUUUUAAUUUUUUAUAGUCUACAUAUUUAUAAUUUUUAAAGGAUUAAAUUGAAUUUUUAUAAUUUUAGGGGGGCAAAGUGUAAAUUUACCUUUACUAAUUUAAUUUUUUUAAAAAUCUCAAGGGCCUAAAUAGCAAUUUUACAUUUUAGGGGGUCGAGGCCCCUACCAGCCCCUGGAUUCGCCCUUGGUUUGAGGCAAAGGAUGAAUUGACAGAUAAGACCAUGGUUGGACCAUGGCAAUGUUUAAAUGUAAGACCCUAGUUGGGUUAUGGUAUUUUAAUGAAAAGACCAUAACUGUGUUAUGGCACAAAGAAAAUGAUGUACUCAUAUCCGUAAGUCGUUCUCCGAUUUGGAAAGACUUGAUUAGUGACAUGAAAAAUUCAUGUAUAUGAAACCUGUCUGAUAAUUAUGUAUAUUCAUGAUUAUGAAUUGUUAUCUAAAAAAUACACACGAAAUCAUGAUAAUAAUGGUACAUAGAAUAUUGAUUGUUAUUGAAUUGAAUGUAUGUGGAAUUGUGAUAUUUUGAAUACUUGUGGCAAUUGAAAAGUAAAUUGAAACCCUAUUAACUGUAUCGGGUUGAGUUGGUUAUAGUUGGCAUGCCAUAGGAUUAGAAGAGUUCAGGGAUACUUCGACUUCAAGUCGAUGAGACACUGGGUGUCAAAUUGUUACUUCGGAUAAAUUCAAUGAGGUACUUGGUAUCAAUUUACUUCGGCAUGGCCGAUGAGGCACUAGGUGUCAAAUUAUUACUUCGAAUUAUCCGAUAAGACAUUAGGUGCCAAACUGGUGUGUUUUGGUUGGAUCUGUGUAUCCGUCAGAGUCCGAGUCGUGUUAAUAGUGGAAAUUAAAUGAAAUGAUAUUAUGAAUGGAAAUUGAUAAUACCAAAUGUGAAAUGGAAAUGAAACAUAUGAACUGUGUAUUAAUUAUGAAAAGCCUUUUAAGAUAGCAAAUUAAUGAGAAUUGAAUGUGCAAUGAGUGAUCUAUAAAUAUAUAUGAAUUAAUAUUGAAAGAUUUAUGGUUAUUAUCGAUAUGUACCUGAAAUCCUUGGAAAUGAUAUUUAAUUGAUAUAUUGAAAUGUGUCUUGGAAGUGAUAUUUACUUAAUAUAUUAAAAAGUGACAUAUAAAUAUGUGAUUAUCUUUGAUAUGUUGAUACAAGAAAAGCACGUAUAUGGUGAUAUGUCGAGAAAAUAAGUUUAUCAAUAUUGAAUUUAUACGUAAGAUGUACAAGUACGCUAAAUAUUGUUGUUGCUUGAUUUUUAGGAAAGUGCCAAGCUAUUGGCUGAAUAGUAAUUUGUUUAUUUAUUUGAUGCAUUGAAAUGGUGUGCUCAUGAAAGAAUGGUAAGGUUUAAAUUAUGCAAUUCCUUAUGGAACGAUUUAUUAUGUGUUCAGUUAGAAUAAGGCUUUGGUUAAAUGCACUAAUUUGUGACCGUGGCUGAAUGAUAUGCAUAUACUUGUAUGACAUGCAUAUGAAACAAGUGUGGAAGAGUUAAAGUUAUAUAAAAUUCUACUAAGAUUGGGGAUAAUAAGUAUAUGUGUGAUACUAUGGAUUAGUUCACCUUGUGAAUUAAUGAGUAUAGUUUAUGAGUAUUACGGUAACAAUAUUGGAAUAUAUUUUAUAUGUAAAAUUUUAUAUUUGAGAUGAAUUAAUAUGAUUAAAGAUUAUAUGAACUUACUAAGCAUUCAUUGCUUACGUACUUAUUUUUAUUUACCUUACAAAUUAUCAGAAGCUCGAACGAGUUAGAAGCUUAUCGGAGCUAUAUCACACUAUCAAUUGGUUAUAUCGGUAAUUUUGAUGAUUUGAUUCUAGUUAUAAUGGCAUGUAUAAGUUAAUUUGGUCAAUGUUGGCUUAUUAAUGUUUUGUUAUAUCUAGCCAUAGGAAUGACUUGUAAUGAUUAUGUUUAGAUUUGCAUAUAAGAGGCUAUAUCAGGUUAGAUAUGAGUGUUUGGUAUAGUUGAAUGAUGAUAAUCUUAUAGGUAUGAUAAUAGUUAGUACAAGUAUGCAUAUAUAUGAAUUAGGUCAAUUUGAUAAGUUUGAAUACUAGAGUAUAUGUGAUGAUAUGUUAGUAUAAGACUUGGUAUUUGUUUGAAUUGAAGGUCUUAUUGUGUUAUGUAAGUAUGUAAAUGAUUGUGUCUAGGUUGAUAUUAAGAUUAAUUGGGUGAGAAAAUGAUCUGUAGCAGAGAUGUUACCUUUGAUGAAUCUGCCACAUUGAAAAAGGUAGCAGAUAAAGAUAUUCAGACGAGCAAUACUCCACAGCAGGUGGAGUGUACUCCAAAACAGGUGGAGUUUGAGCAGAUGGGGAUUUGCCCAGUUAAUAAGUCUAAUUCUCCAGCCACAAUGGAAGAAUUAGAGGUUGAAGAGGUUCUGACCCAAGAACCACUAAGUACACCAGAACCAGUUGCAGUUGCAAGGCCACGGAGAGAAAUUCGUAAACCUACUCGAUUUACUGAUAUGGUGGCCUACGCCCUGCCCGUUGUUGAUGAUAUUCCUAUCACUUAUCAAGAAGCAAUGCAAAGCUUAGAAAGUGAUAAAUGGAAAAGCGCCAUGGAUGAAGAAAUACAGUCUCUCCGGAAGAACAAUACUUGGGAGUUGGCGCAAUUACCGAAAGGUAAAAGGGCAAUCGGAUGCAAGUGGGUAUUCGCAAAGAAAGAUGGAUCUCCUAGCAAGAAGGAUAUUCGCUACAAGGCAAGAUUGGUAGCUAAAGGCUACGCUCAGAAGGAGAGAAUUGACUACAAUGAUGUAUUUUCCCCUGUUGUGAAGCAUUCCUCCAUUAGAAUUUUGUUGGCCUUGGUAGCACAGUUGAAUUUGGAGCUAGCUCAACUUGAUGUUAAGACGGCUUUCUUGCAUGGUGAGUUAGAAGAGGAGAUCUAUAUGACUCAGCCAGAAGGAUACACAGAUGCUGGUGGUAGAAAUUGGGUUUGUAAGCUUAACAAAUCGCUAUAUGGAUUGAAGCAAUCCCCGAGGCAGUGGUAUAAGUGAUUUGAUAGCUUUAUGAGAAGGCAGAAGUACACAAGAAGCAAAUAUGACAAUUGUGUAUAUUUGCAGAAGCUGCAUGACGGAUCUUUCAUUUAUCUACUCUUGUAUGUUGAUGAUAUGUUAAUCGCUUCGAAGAGCCAAAAUGAGAUAGAUAAGCUAAAGGCUCAGUUGAAUCAAGAGUUCGAGAUGAAAGAUCUAGGUGAGGCCAAGAAGAUUUUCGGCAUGGAGAUAAGUAGAGAUAGACAGAGAGGAAAGCUUUGUUUGAAUCAGAAGCAAUAUCUGAAAAAGGUAUUACAAUGUUUUAGUGUAAAUGAAAACACAAAACAUGUAAGUACCCCACUUGCUUCUCAUUUGAAACUUAGUGCUCAAUUAUCUCCGAAAACUGAAGAAGAAAGAGAAUAUAUGGCGAAAGUCCCAUAUGCUAAUGCAGUUGGGAGUUUGAUGUAUGCGAUGGUGUGUACGAGGCCUGACAUUUCACAAGCUGUUAGAGUUGUGAGCAGGUAUAUGCAUGAUCCUGGAAAAGGACAUUGGCAAGCUGUGAAAUGGAUUCUACGGUAUCUUCGAAAAACCGUAGAUGUUGGUUUAAUUUUUGAACAGGAUGAAGCACUUGGUCAGUUUAUAGUUGGAUAUGUUGAUUCCGACUUUGCUGGUGAUUUAGAUAAACGUCGUUCAACUAUGGGGUAUUUGUUUACUCUUGCGAAAGCUCUAGUGAGUUGGAAGUCUACCUUACAGUCUACAGUAGCUGUGUCUACUAUAGAGGCAGAAUAUAUGGCAGUUACAGAAGCUGUUAAGGAGGCUAUUUGGCUUAAUGGAUUGUUGAAAGACUUAGGAGUUGUUCAAAGUCACAUAAGUUUAUAUUGUGACAGUCAGAGCGCUAUUCAUUUAGCGAAAAAUCAAGUCUAUCAUUCAAGAACCAAGCAUAUCGACGUAAGAUAUCACUUUGUGCGGGAAGUCUUUGAAAAAGGAAAAAUUCUACUUCAGAAGAUUCCGACAGCAGAUAAUCCCGCAGAUAUGAUGACCAAGGUGGUAACAACAAUCAAGUUUAAUCAUUGUUUGAACUUGAUUAACAUCCUGAGAAUUUGAGCACCUUCAGGUGUAUGGCGCUCGAGAGCGCAUUUGUAGGCACUACAAAAGAUAGCUUUAUCGAAUUUGGGGAGUUGAAGGAAGUGUGUGAAGAUGUGAUUAUCCUAAUCAAAUCUUCAAGGUGGAGAUUGUUAACAUUAAUGGGAGACAACAUUAAUGGCAAACAAUACAAAGUGGUGCAAGUUUAGCACCCUAAAGUUGACUUUGAAAAAGUGGCAUGGGAUAAUUUUUUUUGGUCCUUGAGAUAAUGGGCUAUUUAUUGUUUGGUCCUUAAACCUCAACUAUAAAUAGGCCUUCUCAUUUCUCAUUUCAAUUCAUCCCAACCAAUCUUUCUCUCUUAGUUUUCUCUCUUCUCCCAUUUGAGAAUUCUCAAGGAAUUCUAUUUGUUUGUAAUAUUUUGAAGAUAGUAAAGUUAUCAUCUGGUGUUAGUGCCCGAGGACGUAAGUAUAAUUUACCGAACCUCGUUAAAACUCUUGUGUUCUUUCUUGUCCUAUUUUUCUUUCAAUAUUUGAGGGUAUAAUAGUAGUAUUUAAUUGUGCUAUUAAAUUACUAUAGAAGGGAUAUUCUGACUAAGGAAAGACUUGGUAUUUAAGAGAUCCAUGUGAUCCACCUCUCUUUCCUGGGAAUUGAACUUUGUGUGAUUUUUUAGUACAAUAAUUUACACGCUUCCGACCCUAUUGGAACAACAAAGCCAACGUUUCCAAGCCGACUACUAGUGCUUUGACAUGUCCAACCACUAUCAUCCAAAUUUUAUUCUCAAUUCUCUCCGAAGGAAGCUCCAAAAACUAAAAGCCACACCAAGAGAUGAACAUGCAAUUUUUUUUUUGGGGGGUGUAUAUAUCAACUUAUAUCAAAGUAUAUUUUCCAUUGCACAUACAAUUGGAUCACCCUCUUUGCAGGCACCAUGGUAGCCACAAAGAUGUUCUCAAAGUUACUCACUGAAACCGACAUCAAGAAGAGGUUGGAUAUCCCGGUGAAGAUCCUGCCUUCUUUGCCGGGUUUCAAUGGAAGCCAUGCAGUCCGAAUUCACCUUAUGUACGGCACAAGGAUCUGGCCAAUUGUUUGCACUGUUGGAAAACAACUAAACAAUGGUACAAGAAACAUGUUUUCUCCGGUGGAUUAUGGAGAAAUUGGUGAUAGAAUCACCAUGUUCAAAGUGCAAUAUGAAGAUGGUUCUUGCCUUUAUAGGGUUGAAGUGGAGAAGCUAGCUGACAGUAACCAAUACGGGGAUCUUCAACUACAUAAGGCGUCUGAUGCACCGAUCAAACAGGAGGGAGUUAUCCCAAUCAUGGAGCUUCAUAAUGUUGCAAAUGACACCUUCGUUGAUCAUGUUAUUGCCAAACCACCCGUCAGGAUAUUUGGUACUAAUACGACUGAUGAAAUGAAGUACUUGGGCGAUACCAAAGAUACCGACAUGGGUGAACCACCACUCAUUUCGCCCUAUAUGGCCAAAGGAGAAAGAGAAAUCAACUUAUUUGGCAUCACCGAGGGUGGUGCAAAUGUAAUGGCCUAUAGUGGAGAAGCAUGUUAUUGCAACAUUAUUACUAAUCAAAGGCUCAGCUUGGACUUGACUUUGGCACCGCCCAAUAUGGAGGGAGUAUAGAUGAGGAAACACCAUUAUUUGCUCACUCGAAAGCCAUGGUAGGAUAGCUAAGUGAGGGUCUUGGCCAGGAUGGGUUGUUUGAACUUUUGAUGGACCUGAUAGAUUUUAAUUUGAACAUGGUUCUAAUAGUUGCUUUUUAAAGUUGUCGUGUUUCUUAAAGUUGGAACUUUUCCACCAUCUAUGGAGAUAAGCUAAGUAUCUCUCUCUCCUUUUCCACUAAAUUUAAUAUUUAAUAUCGAUGGGUAUCCCUUGGGAAAUCCAAGGCAAGAGUGGGAGCCAUUCUACGUGAUCACUACGAGAAUUGGAUCAUUGGACUUUUCCAGCACAUUCCUAAUGCCACUAACGUUUAGGCUGAACAAUCAGCUUGCUAAAGAUCUUAACUUUGUUAACUUUGAUUUUGAAGUUGAUGCACUAUUAUUCAGCUUUUGUCCAAUGAUAAUAUUUUUAAUCUGAUUGACUGAUAAUUCUUUGAAGCAUGUCGUGAAAAAAAUAAAUGUGUGAAUGAAUAAGAUCAAUUAAGGAGUAAUUUUCAUCUCCUUUCUUCCUUAGAUGUUUUAAAAUUUCCAAAUUUACUUAAUAUUUAUAGUAAUCCCUCUAAUAGUUUGAAAUUUUCUAGAGCUAGCUGAUAAGUAAGGCUUCGUCUGUAGAGUUCGAUUUGAUUGGAUUUUUAGAUUUUUUUACAAAUAAUUCAUCAUAAAUUUUUUUGUUUUUGAAUUUUUCAUAUUAAUUUUGGGUUUUGGUUUUUAGAUUUUAUUUUGAUAAAAUGUGCUCUCUUUUUAUUACUUUUAAAUAUUAUUUGAUAAAAUUAUAAAUUUUAUUCAUAAUAUUUUUAAAAAGAAUUUUUUUAAAUAAAUAAAAUAAUUAAUAUCACUUAUAUACUAUUUUUAGAAAAAAGAAUUUUUUUAGAUAAUAUUUUGAAGUUAUUUUCACUGUAAGAAAUAUUUAUUUUUACAUCAUAAAAAUUAAAAUUAAUUAUAAAUUUAACAAAAUUCAAUUCGAUUCACUACAACUUUUAAUUUGUAAAAAUAAAGUUAAAAAAAAUUCGAAUUGGCAAAUAAUAUAUAUACAUAUGCACAUUGAAAUAUUGAAUUGUUCAUCAUAAUGCAUUUUCUUUACCAUGCCAAGAUUUAAAGAAAAAAGUCAUGACAAUCAGAGAACAAAAUCUUAGAUAUUGCCUUUGGAUUGACAGUAUGUUUAUCUUCAGUAAAGUUACUACAGUAACAGUGAAAAUAAUUACUAUAAUUGUGAGGUAAAAGAUUCCAACCAAAACACACCACUUAGGACCUCGAGGGCCCAUCCAACCCUACACACCACAUAUGUGGACCAAGCCAUUCAUAUAUCAAUAUGCAGCGGAGCUGGAGUAUGUGUUGUACAGUGCAAUGCGGUAAUCCGCUGUAUAGUCCUGUUGCAGUUAUACUGCCAAAUCACAUAAUAGUACGCAGCAAGGCUGACGCACACGUAGUACAGUGCGAUAAAUCGCCGUACGAAUAUAAUGCAGUAAAACUGCCAUAUCAGAUAAGAAUCAGACUCUCUUUUCUACACAAUCCCACCCAAAAUACAUUAUGCAAGUGUAUCCGUGCACACAACCUCAUAGACAGUGACACAUUUCAUAGACAAUCAGUCAAAACAGUUAUGCAAACACACUCCACAUUCCAGAUUCAGACUCAGACGUCUCACACUAUAAUUGCCAGUAACACAUAAGCCACAGCCCAAAUCAAAGUCUUAAUUACCCUUUCAAGGCAUAGCCAAGGGUUUGAAACACACAAUUACAUUUCCAGAUCAAAACAAACACAAACUGGAAUUUUGGUGUCCUAAGACCACACGCCCGUGUGAAAUUGCCUAGGUCGUGUGGCAGGUCGAAAGCUCGUGUGAAGAGGGGCACACGACCGUGUGACUGAAACACACACCCGUGUGAAAUGAGGCACACGGUCGUGUGACUAAGGCACACGCCCGUGUGGACCAGGGACAUGGCCGUGGGAAUAGCCCAUGUAACUCUCUGUCCAUUUGCACUAAAUUUGAAUAUAGGGCUGACACGACCGUGUGAGGGUCUCACAUGCCCGUGUGCCCACCAGACACGACCGUGUGUUCAAAACACUCACCCAUAUAGAAUCCUUAAAUCCCCAAAUCAGUCACACGACUGUGUGACCCUAAAUCACUCAAACCCUUAAUUCCUAAACUCACACACCCGUGUGUUCAGGAGACACGACCAUGUAAAAAAUAACAAAAUCCCAAAAUCGGCCACACGACCGUGUGGCCAGCUGUGUGGCACCAAAUUUAGUCCGGGAAUCCUAAUUCCUAAUCCCACACGGCAGUGUGAAUAGGCACACGCCCGUGUGGCCACCAAAGUACUCACGAAACUCCUUCAGAAUAGGUCGAAAACCUUGUUUUAGCCAUCACAACAGUCCCCAACCUUUACUAUAUCAAAAGUACAUUGAAAUAUGCAGUAUUCCCUAUACUUCUUCAACAUCCAAACUCCCAAAUCAAUGAAUUUAAGCACACUCAAGAAAUACAGAAACAACGAUUCGCAAAACAAAAUAAUUAAGGUUCGAAUGCCACACCUGUUUCGACGAUAGCGGAGCGAAAUUCUUCAAAAUAUGCACAGCAAACCAUUUCCCCAUAGAAAGAAAGAAAAAUCAAAAAGAAAGCAAAAAGAAAAGAAACCCCAAAAGAAGAACAUCUAGCAGAAAGCCAAAAAAAAAUUAAUUAGAAUAAAUUAAAAAAUUAAAAAAUUAAAAAAAUAAGAAAUAUUAACUUAAACAAAGCAGAAUAAAUUGCCUCUCCAAAAUGCACACCCAAAGACUUGAGGUGCACUAACACUCACUCAACACUAGACCAAUAAACUUAUUCUAUCACUUAUAUGCAUGACUAGACACAAAAACACACCUUUCUCUCAGACCCUAAUCACUAACAUCAGAACUUUUAACCCCCAAAAUUCGGGGUAUUACAUUAAUGUUUAGUGACAUAAAGUAAGCGAUGAGUAAUGGUUUUGAUUGACGAGAGCUGAUAGGAGGGAAAUUGAUAAUGAUAGACUAUAGUUUGAUGUAGAUCAUUUGAGUAUAAAUUUUUAUUAAAAAGUUUUUAUAAAUUAUUAGAAAUAAUUUAAAAAUAAAAUUACUAAUAUAGAAAAAUUACAUAAAUUAUUUAAAAAUAAAUAUUAUAAAAAUUAAAGGUUGAAUUGGUUCCAAAUUUUAGAUUAAAGUUUUGAAUUAAGAACUUAAUUAUUUGUUUGGUAAACGUUUUAAUUAUUUUAACAAUAUUUUUUUCAUGUUUAAGUAAAAAAGGGAACUUCUGAUAUAAUUAUUGUCAUAAUACUUUAUAACAAUCCCAGUAUGAUUUUUAAUGGAUCUACAAAAUGAUUAAUUACUAAAUUAGUUCCAAUGAAUAUUUGGGAAAAAAAAUGUCAACAUUAUAGAUAAAACAAACCAAAACAAUCCAACUAUUGAUAAUAAACCAAACAUGAAAGAUGUCGAUAAAAAAAAAUUUUACUCUACAACAUCAUAACUAAAACAAACCAAAAUCAUCUGAACAUGAACAAUAAAAUUGACAUGGAAGAUGCCGAUAAAAGAAAAAUAUUAUCAAUGGCAUCCUUAAAAAAAACAAACCACAGCAACUCAAAUAUAGAUAAUAAAACAAAUAUGAAAAAUGCUGAUUUAAAAAAAUAUUAUCAGCAUCAUCGUAGGGAAAAAUAAACCAAAACAACCAGAAUAUGAGUAGUAAAACAAACAUAAAAGAUGCGGAUAAAAGAAAAACACUAUCCGCGUCAUCAUAGGUAAAACAAACCAAAAAAAAAAAACACCAUAGGCAAAACAACCCCAUCCUGGCCAACUCCAAGCUCACCAAGCUAGCUUUUGAUUUAGCAAAUAGUGGGUUGACUAAGAACCGAAUCUAGGCUAAGCCUUUGACCAGUACUUAUCUUGCAGCAUGCUUCACCACUUAUAUUAGUACCAAAUAUCCUGCAGACAGGUGGUUUAGUAAUAAUAACAUGAUCAUCAACCAAUGUGUUAAUUGGAACACUGGCAAGCAUGUUGAUCAUCGGUGCAUUAGGCAGUUGCUCUCGCCGGUGCCGGGUGACGGUGGUUUCAUCGACUUCAUGGUUGCCGGCAGCUGGCUUCUCCACUUCAACCCUAUAGUGUGAAGAACCAUCUUGAUGUUGCACUUUGUACAUAGUGACUCUAUCACCAAUUUUGAGUUUGUUAUGAACAACAAAUUUUCUCCAUCCACGGGAGAAAACAGGUUUCAUGUACCCUUGUUUACGGACAGUGCAGUCAAUUGACCAGAUCUUUGUCCCAUACAUUAACUGAAUCUUAACUGCAUGGCUUCGAUUGAAACCAGGCAAUGAAGGCAAGAUCUUUGUCGGGAUCGCCAACCUCUUGUUGAUGUCGGUAUAUGUAAGUUUUUUAGAGAACAUCAUUGUGGCUUGAACUGCCAUGGUGAGCUUUCUGCAGUGAUAGGAUAUUACACAUGUUUCAUUUAUAAGGUGUCGUGUUGUGUAUGGGUAAGCUCCAUUCUAUAAUUAAAAAAAAUAUAAAACAUAAACUUCAUGAUUGAAUCUUAACCACAUAUAUGGUCUUUAAUCAAUGUAUUUAAAAAUAAUAUUGACUUAAAUCUCAAAAGGGGGUACUUUUUCUGUAAGGAAUUCAUUUACUAAACCCUUUAGACAUGGAUAUUUUGGUCGACGUACACUUUUUCAAAGAUAUUUGUUCCCCUUUAUUACCAUGAGAAGAAACAAUUUAUUGCUUGAUAUUAAUAGGGAUAAAAAUGUAAUUAAGCUCCAAGUGGAUUGGAUCAACAUUUCAUUGUCGAAUGUGACGAGAAGGAUUAUGGGAUCUUUUUUUUAUGAUACAAGUCGGUGGGAUAAUGAAUUGUGACCACCAAAUUGUUGUUUUUUUGGGUUUAAUACAUUUGGAAUCACAAUCAUCAAAUGUCACCCUUAGUUAAAUUAUUAAUUUAUAAAAUAAAAUAAUUAAAAUUUUAAUUUACAUCAAAUUUAAUAAUAUUUGGAUAGUUAAUAUAUUAGCUGUACAAAGAGAUAUGAAUGGGUAUAAAUCGAUUUACUUUAGUGGAUUCAAAUCCAAGCUAAUUUUGAAAAAGGUACACAUCUAACUAAUAAACCGCAACUUGAUUCAAUAUGUAAAAUCUAAAAAAUUUUGUCCAAUUUUCCAUGUAAUGGGCUAAAUUUGCCCAGCCCAAGCAAACACAAAAAAAUCAAAACAAAAUAUAAAAUAAAUAAAUAAAUAUAAAACCCAAGUUUUAUAACAGUCCAAUUACAUGGCCUAAUAACCAAUAACAAGCCCAGUUACAUGACCCCUAGCCGAAAUUUGCAACAAACCCAAAUGGCCCGAAUGCGGAAACCAAGGCAGAAACCCUAGCAGGUCCACCAUGCGCCGCAGCCAAGCCCCGGCCUCCAUGCCUCCGUACGCCCCAACGUUCAGCAGCCACGCCACAGCCCUCCCUCAGCGCCGUACGCUCCGUACAACGCCUCCAGCAACCACGCCAAGCCUCCGUACGCCAGCACAGCACCCGUACCUGCGAAAGAGAACAAACCACAGCAGCAAAUACAUACAAAAAAGACAACAGCAAAAUGAGAAUUUUUAUUCAAUUUUUAUUUUUAUUUUUGAAUAUUUCUUAUUUCUGUUUCAGCUAUAAAGCCAAAGCCUCUGCUCAUUGUAAUUUUUUUACGCACAAAUACGCAACAAAAAAAAUACAAAAACUCAAGCAAUACAAAGCAACUAUUUUUCUAAAGGUGAUUUCCAGACUCAAAUCUCUGGGCGUUCCCUUUCGAUUGGAUCUUUUUUUUCUUUUUUUGUUUUGUUGAUCUUUUUCUUUAUUCGAAGGUUUGAAUAAAAAAGGAAAAUAGGAGUUUACCUGGAGGAUAUGCCAUGGAUCUCCUCUUACUUAGUCGAAAUCUAAGUCAAGAGAAGAUCAAAGGGCCGAAAAGCGUUCUCCCCAGCCUAAAUUUGUUGGCUGCUAGGGGAAAGAGAAUCAGCAGCUUCAAGGAAGUUUUAGGGUUUGGAAAAGGAGGAAAAUAAUGGGAUUUCAGCUGAAAUGGGGUGCUUUAUUAGAGGUUAUAAGGGAUUAGGAAACGGUGCCGUUUAGACCGAUAAUAGUGGUCUCAAACGACACCGUCCAGGCCACUCCUCUUUAGCCCGACUCGAUUCAGCUCUUUAACCCUCAAGACCCGCGUGUUUUCGCGGUAAAGGGUUAUUUCCAAGAUUGGUCCUCUCCCUUCGUACAGUGGUUCGAUUAGGCCUAAUCCAGAUUUAUUUAUUUUGAAUUCGGCCCUCAUAAUUUGCAUGCAUUUGCAGCCUAGUCCGGGUGCAUGCGCUGCAUUUUGGGAGCCUGGAAUCUUUCCAGUUUGAGCCCCUGCGCAUUGGCGCAUUUUACCUCUUGGUCCUUUUGCUUUUAAGUAACCUGUUUUCAUUUUUAAAUUUCUCCUUUUAUUUUAACUUGAUUUUUAAUUAAGUCUGUAUUAGCAUACCUUAUUGUUUUAACAUUCGUUUAACAUUUUUGCUUGUAUAUUAAUAAUUCUUUUAUUUUUGUAUUAUUACACCGAAAUUUCCUUUUGACAUAGUAUUUGGUUCAAAUUUUUAUAUAUAUAUUCAUAUAUUUAUAUUAUUUUGGUAUUUUUAUACUCGUUAUAAAUUUUGAGGGUCCAUUUGGUUUCUACAUGUGUGUCAAGCUAUUUUAAUACCAUACUUUAUAAAGUCAUUAUCUUGAGGUUCGUAUUUGCAUUAUUUUAACUAUUGUAUAUAUUGUCUCAUUCAAAUUCUUUUAUGUAUACUAUUUUGAUGGUUAAAUCAUUAUUUAAAAAAAAAACUCCUUUUUUUAUAAAAUUAUCAUGCUAAAAUUCUUGAUAUUGUAUUCUUUUGGUAUAUUAAAUAGUAUUUCAUUGAAGUGUUUUAUUAUGUAUAUAUUCGUACAUAUAUAGAAGAUAAUUUAAUCGUGUGCAAAUUACUAUGAUAUUUUUGUAAACAAUUAUUCCUAAGUUUAUUUAUAUACAUAUAUAUAUAUAUAUAUACAUACAAUUUGUAAAUCCAUCAUGUUUCUAAAGAUUAUAUCUUAUUAUACAUUUUUAUGGUUAUUAUUUUUAAUAUAUCUUUCAUACUAUAUAAAUCCUCAUUUUUUUUAAAAACCAAUAUUACUUAAUGUUUUGGUAUGAUAUUCGAUUAAAACAUUCAUUUUAUAAUAUGUAUUUCAAAUGAUUAAGUAUAUAUAUCCCUAGUUUCUUUACAAAUAGAUUCUAAAAUGCACCAAUUCAUUAAUUCGCAUGUCGUAUAAAUUAUUGGUUCAUAAGAUCGUCUUUGUUUCGCCAUCCUCUUAUACUACUUUGGCUUUUAAAUUUUAUUUUGUGGUGCAUAUAUUUUGUUGGUUGUUCUAUAUCGUAGCGUAUACGUUUAUUAUUGCAUGGUAUUCAUCUUAUUGAUAUGUCGAUUAUUAUUCAUACGUGAUUGAAAUUAGGUUAUAAUUUUUAGAUUGAUUAUAUUUAAUUGCAUGUUCUGCUAGUUGAUUAAUAUUCUUAUUCAUCAAGCAUUAUACCUCAUAUGUGCAUAUCACCCCAUUCAUCAUUUUCCAUUUGAUUUUCGAAAUGUGGUUUUAUAAAAUCCAAAUUUUAUGAUUAAUUUCGUUUCAUUUCAAAAAAUGCAUUAAUACGUUUUAAGCUAGUUUUAUAAGUAUCCAUUUAAAAAUUUUUUAAAACGAAGACGAGAUUCGAUAUUUGGCAAUUCGCGGAAUAGUGCCCUAACGUGUCGGGUUGCAAUUUCGCGUUUGCUCAAAAUAAUCGAAUAUCCCUUCAAAAUUUCACUCGUGCCUUUCAAAAAUUCUUUAAAACGGAGGCGAUGUGCGAUAUUUGGCAAUUCGCGGAAUCGUGCCCUAACGUGUUGGGUUGCAAUUUCUCGUUUGCUUAAAAUAACCAAAUAUCCCUCCAAAAUUUCACGCAUGUCUUCUAAAAAUCAUUUAAAACGAAGGCAAUAUUCGGCGUUUGACGAUUCAAGAAUCAUGCCCUAUCGUGCUGGGUUGUGAUUUCUCGUUUGCUCAAAACAAUCGAAUAUUCCUUUAGGUUUUCACUCAUGUUUAUUAAAAACCUUUCAAAACAAAAGAUGUUCGAUGUUUGGCGAUUGGAGAAUCGUGCCCUAUCGUGCUGGGUUGUGCUUUUUCAUUUGCUCUAAACAAUCGAAGAUCCCUUCGAAGUUUCAUUCACGUUUUCUAAAAACCCUCUAAAACGAAAGAAGUGUUCGAUGUUUGGCAGUUCAGGGAAUAGUGCCCUAUCGUGCUGGGUUGCAAUCUCCCGUUUGUCCAAAAUAAUCGAAUAUCUCUCCGAAAUUUCACUCGUAUUUUCCAAGGUGAGGCAAUGGUCAAUGUUUGGAAAUUCGAGGAAUCGUGCCCUACUGUGCUGGGUUUCGAUUUUUCGUUGGACUAAAUAGUUGAGCAUCCUUUUGUGAUUUUCUAAUUAUAAAUUUUCGGAUGUCGAAACAAGAAGAUUUUCGGUAACCAACUCAGGUUAUUCAAAUGUCAUUAAAAAAGAAGCACAUUUCAAAAACAUUUCGAUUUUAGACAUAAGGACAAUAUUUAAUCGGUUUGGUACCAAUUUUGGGCGUAGUGAGGGUGCUAACCCUUCCUCAUACGUAACCGACUCCUGAACCCGUUUUCUCAAAAUUUCGUAGACCAAAAUCGUCAUUUUAGUAAAUCACAAAUAUUUUAUCAAAAUAACCAAAUUCUUAGGUGAUCCGAUCACGCCAAAACAAAAAGAUCGGUGACGACUCCAUACUUCUGUUUUUCAAAAGUCGAUUCCCCUGUUUUUCAUUUAUUUUAAAAUUUAAAAUAAAAAGGGUGGUUUCGACAUUCCAUAUUCUAUGUAUUGUAUUGGUUAAUUUAAUAUACCAUUAAAAUUUGUUGGACAUAUAUUUGUACUUGUACUUGCAAAUUGUACCUUGUCUUGUACUUGUAUUAUCUUGUAUUAGUGAAAUUUAAAAAAAAAAAACUUGCAUAUCCAUAAUUUCUACUAUUCAUUUUUUAUUGUUUUAAACUAUCAUUACUUUAUUAAAUUUUAGUCUAAAAUAUAAAAUACAUAUUUUAUUAAUAGGGUAACUACUUUUUGGGAAUUUAGAUUUUUAAAAUUAUUAUUUGUUAUGAAUUUAAAAUAAAUAUAAAUAGAUAUCUCGGAUAUUUAUUAUUUGAAUAUCAAAUGCAUAUUCAAAUUCAAAUAUAUGUACUUUUAUAUAUAAAUAAAAAGAAUUUUUAAAUUUAGAAUUUAAGAAUUUAAAUAUUAAAAAAAUAAUUGAAAAUUUGAAAUCAAUUUAUUUUACGGAUUCAAAUAUUUAAUAGUAUUUAGUUCAAAUUCAAAUUUAGACUCGGAAUAUUUUUAGAGAAAUUUACGGAAUUAUAUUCAAUCUACAUACAUGUAAGGUGGCAAGUCAGGAUAUUGGGACCACUCCCAAAACAAAGGCAACCUUUAUUUAAUUAAAAUUAUAUGCGUGCCAUAAUCGCGCGAUGGAGCUUGUAAAUACACAUGCAACUCGCGACUAGCCACAUAGCCGUUCACCAAUGAUCAAAUUAGAGAUGGUAACCUGUAACGUUUUAAAUUAUAUGUUUUUAUGAUAAUAAAAAUAUAAUUUUAUUAUUUUAAUAGUUUAUACUUUAAUAAUUUUUAAAAAAUUAAAUUAAUUUUUAUUAUUUUGAAAUAUUAAAGUGUAAUUUUAUUAUUAUUAAUUUAGGGUUAUUAAGCUUUGUCACUGCGUAACAAUAUUGUUUUCAGAACUAGACCAAUCAGUUAAAUUAAAAAUUAUAUAGUCAUUGAUUUGAAAAGAGAGAUUAAAUCGAUUUUUCAUAAAUCAAUAGGAAUCGAUUGAAUCGAGAUUAAAAAAAACGAUUGAACUGAUUUAACCAUAAGUACAAUAAUAAUUAAAAAUAUUAUUUUAAAUUGUCAUUAUUUUCCAAAAAUUGAUAGAGAGUCCCGGGGGACUUGUGUGAGAAAGUGACGAGUAUUUGAAUGUGAAUGUAUAAAUUUUGCCCCCAAAACUUCCAACAAUUAGGUCAGCUAAGCUGUGGAUAAAGUCAACCCAUUAGUGUUUAAAUAUUUCACCAACAUGAUUAUCAUAAAUUAAUUAUAAUUUACAAAUUUGUCAUAUUUUUCACAAAAUUCACUUUCACAACCGUAAAUUAAGGCCCACAAUGAUGUCAAUUGUAGAUCAUUUUUAUUGGGCAUAAUAAUAUAAGCUUCUUAUAUAUCUUUGAGUUCCAUCUUCAUUUAAUAAAAUUACUUUACAAUAUUUAUAUAUUUUAUCAACAUUUAUAUAAAAUAUAUCAGGGUUAAAUUUAUUAUAUUAAUUAAAAUUAUGUACAACUAAUGAAAAAUAUUAACUUACAAUUAAUUAUCUUUAAUUAUUUACUUUUGAAAUUGAUAAGGAUUAAAUUGCUCAAUUUGAAAAUUAAAAACAACAAAAAUAUAUCUUUACCUAAAUAUUUUUUAUGUGUUUUGUCAAGGGAAGAAUAUACCUUAGAUCAAUAUCCAAACGACUAUUCGAUUAUGUAUUAAAUUGCUCAAUACCUUAGUUCCACUAGUGAGCUCAAAACGACUAUUUGAUUAUCGGUACAGUGGAUCAAUAUCCAUCAACGAGUAGAAGAACAUACCUUAGAUCCAAGUCGUCAGUGUCGGAGAUUGAAGAAAAAAGUUUUGAAUUUUGGUUUGAAGAUCUCUGACGUCCAAAGUUAUUUAAUGGAAAAAAAAUUGAACUGUAAAACAGAAGGGAAAAGAGAGCUUUUUAUUGGUGAAAGCAAUGCGAACAAAAAAAGUAAGAUAGUAUUGAUUUUAACCAUCACUGACUUAAAUAAAAACUUUCGAAUAAUUCAGUGACCAAAUUAUAGUUUAUUUUAAUUAAGUGAAUAAAACGAAAAUUUAUCUAUAAUUUAAUUACUAAUAGUUUAAUUUUUAUUCUUAGCAUCGUGUGCAAACUUGAAUCAUUCAAAAUCUAAAACAAAAUUGUCGCAUUGACAACUAUAUGUUGCAUCUAAUAGGAAUGCUUUGACGUGAAGAUUGAUGGUUGCUAUCCAAGACGAGUAGACUUAUUCUCAAUUUUAAUUCUCCUAGUAAAACAUGUCCAAACCGCCCUCGUCCAAAUUUUAUUCUAAAUCUCUCCGGAGGAAGCUCCAAAAGCUAAAAGUCACACCUAGAGAAGAACAUGCGUUUUUUUUUUUUUUGGGGGGGGGGUGUAUAUAUCAGCUGAUAUCAAAGUAUAUUUUCCAUUGCACAUACAAUUGGAUCAUCCUCUUUGCAGGCAAUCUUUACCCACCAACCAGCAACCAUGGUAGCCACAAGGAUGUUCUCAAAGUUACUGAAACCGACAUCAAGAAGAGGUUGGCUAUCCCGGUAAAGAUCCUGCCUUCUUUGCCAGGUUUCAAUGGAAGCCAUGCAGUCCGAAUUCAACUUAUGUAUGGCACAAGGAUCUGGCCAAUUGUUUGCACUGUUCGCAAAACAAGGGUACAAGAAACCUGUUUUCUCCGGUGGAUUAUGGAGAAACUUUGUUAUUUGUAAUAGCUUCAAUGUUGGUGAUAGAAUCACCAUGUUCAAAGUGCAAUAUGAAGAUGGUUCUUGCCUCUACAGGGUUGAAGUGGAGAAGCUAGCUGACAGUAACCAAUACGGGGAUCUUCAACUACAUAAGGCGUCUGAUGCACCGAUCAAACAGGAGGGAGUUAUCCCAAUCAUGGAGCUUCAUAAUGUUGCAAAUGACACCUUCGUUGAUCAUGUUAUUGCCAAACCACCCGUCAGGAUAUUUGGUACUAAUACGACUGAUGAAAUGAAGUACUUGGGCGAUACCAAAGAUACCGACAUGGGUGAACCACCACUCAUUUCGCCCUAUAUGGCCAAAGGAGAAAGAGAAAUCAACUUAUUUGGCAUCACCGAGGGUGGUGCAAAUGUAAUGGCCUAUAGUGGAGAAGCAUGUUGUUGCAACAUUAUUACUGAUCAAAGGCUCAGCUUGGACUUGACUUUGGCACCGCCCAAUAUGGAGGGAGUAUAGAUGAGGAAACACCAUUAUUUGCUCACUCGAAAGCCAUGGUAGGAUAGCUAAGUGAGGGUCUUGGCCAGGAUGGGUUGUUUGAACUUUUGAUGGACCUGAUAGAUUUUAAUUUGAACAUGGUUCUAAUAGUUGCUUUUUAAAGUUGUCGUGUUUCUUAAAGUUGGAACUUUUCCACCAUCUAUGGAGAUAAGCUAAGUAUCUCUCUCUCCUUUUCCACUAAAUUUAAUAUUUAAUAUCGAUGGGUAUCCCUUGGGAAAUCCAAGGCAAGAGUGGGAGCCAUUCUACGUGAUCACUACGAGAAUUGGAUCAUUGGACUGUUCCAGCACAUUCCUAAUGCCACUAACGUUUAGGCUGAACAAUCAGCUUGCCAAAGAUCUUAACUUUGUUAACUUUGAUUUUGAAGUUGAUGCACUAUUAUUCAGCUUUUGUCCAAUGAUAAUAUUUUUAAUCUUAUUGAAGAGGGUAGGAUGUUCCAUGACUGAUAAUUCUUUGAAACAUGUCUUGAAAUAAAUGUUUCACGAAAUAAAUAUGUGGAUGAGUAAAGAUCAAUUAAGGAGUAAUUUUCAACUCCCUUCUUUCUUGGAUGUUUUAAAAUUUCCAAAUUUCCUUAAUAUUUAUGGUAUUCCCUCUAAUAGUUUGAAUCUUACUAUGUAUAGAGUUGUACUCUAGUUUUUAUUUUAUUAAUUUAAUUCCAUUUUCGAUUAAAAAAUACAUAUUUCAUUUCUAUUCUGACUUCUUUGUUUGUAGAGUUCAGUUUGAUUAGGUUUUUAAAUUUUUUACAAAUACUUAAUGAUAAAUAUGUUUAAUUUUGUUUUUCAUAUUAAUUUUGGGUUUUAGUUUUUAGAUUUUAUUUUGAUAAAAUCUACUCUCUUUUUAUUGCUUUUGGAUAUUAUUUGAUAAAAUUGUAAAUUUUAUUCAUAAUAUUCCUAAAAAGAAUUUUUUUUUCAAAUAAAUAAAAUAAUCAAUAUCACUUAUAUAGCAUUUUUAGAAAAUUAAAUUUGUUAGAUAACAUUUUGAAGUUAUUUUCACUAUUUAAAUAAAAAAUAUUUAUUUUUACAUCAUAAAAGUUAAAAUUAAUUAUAAAUUUAACAAAAUUCAAUUCAAUUUACUACAAUUUUUUAAUUUAUAAAAAUAAAGUUAAAAGAAAAUCGAAUUGGCAAAUAUAAUAUAUAUACAUAUGCACAUUGAAAUAUUGAAUUGCUCAUCAUAAUGCAUUUUCUUUACUAUGCCAAGAUCUAAAGAAAAAAGUCAUGACAAGAGGAGAACAAAAUCUUACAUACUGCAUUUAGAUUGAUGGUACGUUUACUUUCGGUAAAGUUAAAAAUUACGGUGACGGUAAAAUUAAUUACUGUAAUUGUGAGGUAAAAGAUUCCACCGCACCAUAGUUACCACCCAUCCAAAGGGUACUAAAAUUAUUGUAAUAAAUUAAAGCAUUAAAAACAUAAACUAGGCAAGUACAUUCAAUAUGGUUGCUGGCUCUGUUCUUUAAGGAAAUAAUCAGAACAUAAUCAUAUUUAUUACUUAGGGGUCUUUCUAAACAAUUCUCUGAAAUGUCUAUCCAUUGAAGAAAAAUUUAUCAAGUUUCUCAAGCAAUGCAUUGUCUUGUGGUACAUUCAAAACCCACAAAAAGCUGUGUUUAUAGGUAACUGAAAACUAAUAUAAAUUCUAAGGAAAGAUAACAAUUUACCUGCGGAUGCUAAGAACAACCCUGAACUACUAUGGUUAAUGGCGUCAAGAGUGUGUAUUAAUGAUCGAAAAACAUCUAAGCACGGGUCAUCUUCAUUUUUGGCAUUGCCUUCUUCAUCUGCCGUGCACGGUCUUUUGCUUCUUUCUUGCGAAUUGCUUCCGCACUGAGCUUUGCUUCGGCCUCCUCUAACAUCUUUUUCCUCUCGGCUUUCUUUUUCUGCAAAGCUUCUAGCCUAGCAUUUUGAAGUUCUCUGUAUACCUCUUGUGCUGCCUUCACUCUUGCUGCUUCGGUUUUGGAUCGAGCCUGCGAUAGGCAAAAAAAGAAGAAGUAAGAAUGUUACCAAAUGGAUGUAUCGAGUAUUCGAUGCAUAAAGUAAUUUCAAGAUGAAACACCUGAGAGCUGAGCUUGUAACGCCCAAUUAAAUCGAUGUAGUAUGGUACAAGAGCCACCAAGCGAGUCAUGUCAGCCAUGUGGUUGGCAUCAGGAAGGGCAAACUUAAACAAAAGCAUUUUCUUGUGCUUGUCGGGAUGUUGAUCCGAAAAAUGCAUCCAAAUGAAAUCUUUUCCAUAUUUCUCAAAAGAUUUGUCACCAAAAACCUACGAUAUAUGAAUCACAAUCGAUUUCACCCAUGUUAAAGCAAUUCACAGAGCUGCCAGGCAAAUUUGGAACAAUAAAAAGGUUAAAUGCAAUGGAUCUUAUAUAAGAAUAUAGUAUGAACAAGGGAAGCCAUACAAGAAAACGACAAAAUGAACGAGAUACCGUUGUCAUAAUAUCAUCUUCAGAAAACUUGAAUGUGAGCAUAAUGGAUGAAUGAAUCCUAAGAAAACAUAAUCUUAUACUGGCAUAUAAGCAAAGCAACCCAAAACCAAAGAAGGUCAGAAACCAAACAAAACUCAAGCUCAUAAAACUCCAAGCACUUAGCUCGAGCAGUUGUUGACCAAAGAGCCAGCCACUUGGGACAACAAGUAACUACCUAGAAUCAGCUGCUUAGUCAAAAAGGAUACUAAGCGACCAAUGUUGCAAGACCAACACGCUGGUCACCAGACAGACGAGCAUGUCAAUAGGGCCAAAUGGACGACCAAUGUCCAAGCGACCAAUAAACCAAGUAUAAACACCCAGAUAUGACCUUCUUUCCUACUUUUUACACUCUCAGCUUCACUAUUUGCCUGAGUUGUCUCGCUUCCUUAUUUUGACUACACUCCGACAUGCCUAGCUAACUUACAGGAACCUCGAAUCCCAGUACAUCCGCCUAAACCCAAUCCAUUACCGGAAAGACAACAACAAUCAUAAAUUCAACUGUAAACAUAAUAGAUUCAUGAUCCUAAGAACAACCAAAUUGAAAUCUAGAUAUUCAACGAUAUAGUGCACACGCUAGCACCUACAACAAUCCUAAACACAUUGAAAGCAAAUAAAGCAUUCCAUUAAAUCAAAUCAAUAUCCAGUUCAUAACAUAAAUCAAUAACUCGAAAACCGACCUGUUCGAGCACGGUCUCUGUAAUCAAAUCCCCAGCAACUUCCUUAGAUUCAGAGAUAACAGAUAGUUCAUCCACCACCCAUUUCCUUCCACUAGGAUUAGCCACCAACCCAGCAAAUCUCUGUAGAUCUCUAACUUCUUUUUGCAUCCCUUUAGCAGCUUUCUUCUUUGCUAAUGCAAAAACCACUUGAUCCAUGGCUUCUUCAUUCAUAUAAACCUCAAAAGUAAUCUCGUCUUUACAAGGAACCACUAAGUUAAACAAUCUCGAUAUCAAAUCAUGCCUGCUUUUCAACUCCAUCGUCGCCAACAAUCCCUGACAAUACCUUCGUCCACUGGCGUAGAAUUUGAACACGUUUUGCCCUUCUUUUAACAACAACGGCGAGUCCUCACCUUCUCCGAUACCCAAAAGACUGAAAUUUUUCUCAAAGAUUGAACCUUUGGUAGCGAAUUUCGCUACCCAUGCCAACGCAAUGUUUUCGUUUUCAUGUUUACCGAUGAAAUAAUUGAUCAUAAAAGCAAUCAAGAAAACCCCACAAAUAAUCUCCACCGUAAAGGACUUGUUAGAACCGGAAACAUUCCCAGGUCGUGAAGCUGUUUUAGGAUCUGGGUCAUUUGGAGGAGGGUUUUCCGUCGUUUUCGAAGGCUCCGAUUGUGGUUGCUCGACGGGUAAACCUUCAAAUUCAUCCUCAUCCCAAUACUCAAAUGUGGUGGUCGAUGGCUUUUGAAGAUCCGAUUGAGACGAAGGAUCCGAAGUAGGAACAGUGUUCAGAUCAGGAUCUAGAGAAGGCUGUGACUCGGACUGAGUUAAAGGAGGUGAUUUAACAGGGUGGGGAUCGAAGGGUUCUUCUUCAACAGUGUCGUCGUCUUCAGAAUCGAACCCUUCGAAGUGGGAAUCAGCGAAAACAAGAGAGAAACAGAGAUGGGUUAUUAAUACAGAUAGGAGAAGAAGCAAGUGGAAGGAAGAAAUGGAUUUAGGUCUCUUCAUUUUGGAAUUCGGGGAUGUUCCUUCUUCGUUAAAACUUGAUUUCUGUUUCCAAUUAUGGAACUUGUUGAUUUAAAUCCAGAGAGAUUCAACUAAAAUCCAUUUGAUAAAAGUUUGGGAAAAGGUUUGAGACUUGAGAGGUACCUAUAUUUCAACUGUACAGACAGCCUCCUCUUUAUUUCUUUACCACCAAAUUCAUGGAUUAUUUAUCUAUUGUCUGAGUAGAAAAAUAUAUUUUAAAUUUAAAUAAUUUGACAAUUAAUAUUGAAAAUCGGAAAAAGAAAAGAACGAAAGAUUUUAAUUACGCAGGUGAUUUGAAAAAAAUAAUAUAACAGCGAUUUAAAUUUUAUGUAAUUUAUCCAUAAAAAAUUAAUAAUUUAAAUUCUUUUUUCAUUCCAAAAUCGACUGAAUAUAAAUAUAAAUUGAUUUGAAUCUGAAAUUAAAAUAAACUUAAACUCAAACGAAUAUAAAUAAGUAACUCAAAAUUUAAAUUUUUUAUAUAAAAUUAACAUAGUAUAAUUUAAAGUGUUACAUCUAAUAUUUUAAUAAUUAAAUUAAUGGUUGAAUCAAUUAAAUAUCAAUUUUCGAUUUAAUUGGUACUCUAAUAAUUAAACUAAUGGUUGAAUCAAUUAAAUAUCGAUUCUUGAUUUAAUCGGUACUAUGGUUUUAAUUCCUAAACCAAUAAUAAUAAAAUAAAUAAUUAAAAGUCAUAAUUUUUUAUUAUUUUCUUUUUCUUUCUUGUCGUGUUUAAAUUUGCCUGCGCGUAUAUAUUAUUUAAAAUUAAAAAAAGAAGAAAAAAAAAGGGAAAAUUAAACUGAUAGGUAGAAGCUGAAAAUAUAAAUAAAGCUUUAAAACAAAUAUCAAAUAUCCCCACCUCACAAAUUCCGAUUAAAAGGCAAACACAUUCGCCCAACACACGCACACGUUCAAGCUCCACCUUCGAAUCUACCAGAGAGAAAAAAAAAGGAAAGAACUUGAUUAAAGUUCAUAAAGAAAAGGCUGUUUUUUUCAUCUCUAAUUCGUCCAAAUCAAUUGAUUUGGAGAUGCAAUCCGUUGUUAUUACCCCAACAUACUGUUGCAGCACCCAUUAUCAAACCCUAGAACGCUU
rnacentral:lncRNA from 1 species